CAGGGUUAAGAAUGGACUUUUCACAAAUAUUGCUCCGAAAUUCUCACUGGUCUUGUUCAGAUUUUACUCCUGGUGGCGAUAGUCUGCCUUUCUUCCAAGGAGCUCAAGAUCCUCCAGGCAACAUAUUUGAGAGUGCAGAAAGACCCAUUUCCUGACAGCUAUCUGAUACGCUCCAAAGUGAACUGAAUCUAUUGCAGAGUGUGGAUGGUGCCCUAUAUUUGACCUCACAUCUGCAAGAGCUGCAUACAGAGACCAGGGUGGAAGGCCAUGAAGUAUGCUAGAAGAAGAGAUCUUCUCUUGCAUGAUGCUUUCUGUGUUUAGUAAAGGCAUCCAUACAGUGCCAAUGGAGCCACCACACCUUUCCCUCUAAGCCACAAGAGGUUGAGGACGGUCUUUGUUGGAGCAUCACUGCCACCUCUGACAACCCCAUAAACACAGCUAGUUGCUGGCCAGGACCCUUCCCCGCCCAGCCUGAAAGCCUUUGAAGAAAUGGAUGCUUGUGAGUCUGCAGCCCCACUGCCGCAUGGGAUGUAUGCCACCCUUUCAGUUGCAGCGCUCAUGUGGGUGUUACUGGAACUCGCCAAUAAGAAUUAUGAUAGAGAUGACAGCUCCCAAUUGGGAUGGCUCAAGGGCUUUUUGGGGGGGGUGGACUUUGGCUAGAUAUCCUCCAUAAGCUUCCCACAGCAAGUCUUGCUCUUCACCAACACUAUCACCAGCUGCUGCUUUUCCUUAUCACGGCUAUCACCUGCUUGCAUGCCAGGCAGACUGAUCCUUUGCCUGCUGCUGCACCAUUGCCUAGGCAGAAAUGAGAGAGAUGCAGGAAACCAAGCAGGUUGCAAUGGGGAGCAGGAGGGGCAGGUCCAGGGGGCUCUUCUGAGUGGGCCCUUGACUGAUGCCCCAUCAUGCUGACCCACCAUGCAGUCAUAAUAAUCAUAAAAUAAAAUUAAUAAUAAUAAUAACCACCAAAAUAAGUGACAUCUGAUUCUCCUAUGUUAACCAGGGGAGAUGAAGGCUGGCUAGCUGGUUGGCCAUUCAUUAUAAACCAUUUAACACAAGGGCAGGUGUGAAGUAAAUUACUUGGGGGAAGUAACUUGUUAGUUCAGAUUAACAUGUGCCAAAGCAAACACCCACACAGAUAUGUUAGCACAGAUUUGUGUUGCCUGUCACAUGCUCAUCAAAGGGAGUUACCAGGAAAUAUUUCAAAGAACACAAGAAAGAUAAGUAGGAGGUUGUUUACUUAAAUGUUUGAUCUCCAUUGCAGGACGCUUUCAGGUUUUUUUAAAAAUGGCACUAUAUAAGCUUUAGGCACUUGCUUUAAACAUGGUUAUUCAAGGAAGUCCGUAGCUGAGAAAAUGGGUUUUCUGAUGGUCCUAGUCCCUCUUGUUUUUUGGUCUUGUGGAAUGCUGCUUUUGUUCCUUGCUGGAAUUUUCAGCUCCUUGGGUUGUGUUUUAUUAUGAUUGUGGUUUAAGGAAUUUUGUGGGGGGGGUUUAUAUCAUAAUGUUUUGAUGAUGUAAACCAUCUUCAGUUCUCCCCUCUGCCCUUUUAAUCUUAUGUUUGUUUUUGUUUUUUAAAAAAAUCUUAUUUCUACACGUUAAUAUUUAUUAUUACCAUUAUCAUUGACAAGAGAUUUCUACCAUGCUCCUUCAACUCUAAAAGGGUUCAAGUUAAAGUUUUGCAAAUCAAAAGAAAACUGGUUCUCCCUCCUUUGUAACAA